CUUCUGGGCUACUAUUAUAUUAACUGCGCAGGACAAUCAGAUAACAUCUUCUCUGAAUUUUAGAUUAUCAUCCAUGAAAUGGAGUUAAUAAUAUCUACUUCAAAGAGUUGCUGUGAAGAGUAAGCAGUGAACAUAAGCACCUUCCCUAGUACAUAGUGUGUCUCAGAGAAGUAUGAUGACAGCAAUGUAAGGAGGACAGAGUGCUGGUCCCAGCAGCAACUAGCUGUGUGACCUUAUGCAAGUCAUGUAAUCUCUAAGCUUCAGUUUAAUCCUGUAUAAGAUGAGGAAAUAGUAGCACCUACCUCAUAGGGCUGUUGUGAAAAUUAAGUGUGAUAAUCCAUUUGAAGCCCUUGGAACAAUGCUGGGUGUUUAUUAAGUGCUCAAUGAACUAUUGGCUAUAUAAGCUGUUCAACAAAGAUGACCAUAUCUGUGAUUACUCUUCAAUCCCUUAGAGCUAGUCUGGAACUAGCUAGGUUCCAGUAUCUAGUUUGUUGAGACAAACUGAGCAUUUUGGAUGUCCAUGUGAAAUCAGAAUUUCUCUGUUUUACUCAUCAGCAGUUUCUAGAGGCCAAAUAAAACUUGGCUACAGCAAAGGAAAUUAUUUUAGGAAAGAAAGAUUAGAUCCAAGUUGGAAUUCCCUUUCCUAGUUCUUCUUCAAUAGUAUUUCCACAAAACCCAAUCUUUGUUUGGCUUGAGGUGAAAGGCCUGUUUUCAAUGAGUGGAUUUUACCAAAAGAAAAAUGAAUAGAGAAGUGAAACAGAACAUAACUCUACCACUAAGUAGUGGAAAGUGAGUAACUCCUCAAAAUAUAUUUUUUAGCUUAAUUCUACUUUAACUAAAGAACUCUAUGUAGUGGCCCCCAUCUCUAAACCUUCCUUCUUACCACCCAUGGAGGCAGCUUCCAAGAUGGCCUCUGGUACUUCAUGUUACAGUCAUCCCCUCUUAUUCUUGAAGGACUAUGUUUACACAUCCCCAGUGUAUACCUGAAACCAUACAUAGUACCAAAUUCUACAUAUGCUAUGCUUUUUCCUAUACCUAUCUAUAAGUUAGUGAGAAAUAAAUCAAUAAUCAUCAAUAAUAACAGCAUUUAUAGCAAUACAGCACCAUAAAAGUUACUGAAAGUGUGGCUUUGGAGGCACUACAGUGUUUUUGCUCAUAUAAUUCCCUUCUCCUGUUGAGUAUGGACCAGACUUAGUGACUCACUUCUGACACACAAGACAAGGUGGAAAUGACAGUGCUUGACUCAGAGACUAAGUCAUAAAAGGCAGUGUGACACCUCCUCUGGCUUACAGAGCUUGCAUUGGCAGAAAUUAUCCGCCAGGUUGUGAGCAGCCCCAUGGAGAGACCCAUGUGAUGAGAAACCAAAGCCUCUUCCUAAUAGCCAUAAAGGAGGUAAAGAGUGAACAAGAGGAAAUGAAGAGAAAGAGCAUUCAAGGUAGAGGAAUCCACAGGAACAAAGGCACCAUUGGGAAAAAGGUGAAUUUCCAUGAGUGGGAAGACUAGGUCAUAUGUGGAAAGAAAGAAAGAAAAGUAAAAGCACUCUACAGAGUCCAUGAAAACAGAAGAACAAAUCAAAUCCUAAAGGAUCUAUUCAAUAACAUCUUGGCUUGAUACAAGGUCUUGACUUGGCAUAAGAACAUACCUGUACUAGCCUUCUGGGUGACGAGCGACACACAGAGCAGACUUAAGAUGCCCCAGUCAUCCCAACUGAAGCCACUCUAGAUCCUGAGAUGUUUUAAGACAGCCUCCUGCUUACAAUGCUGAGGAAACAGAGUGGGAAAGAAACGAGCACCUUCCCAGUUGCUUAUGCUCUAUAGUCAUUGAAGCAGAGCCCAGGACCAACAUGGCAAGCAUCUGAACUCUUGGUCUUUCCUAGCUUUGGAAGUUUGUGCAGGGAAGAAAGAAACACCCAUUUGGAGACAGUUCUAGAUCCUGUGCUUUGAAAGCCUAAAUCCAAGGAGAUUUAGCUACAGAGUACAUUUGAGGGUACUUAUAAAUAAGAGGGAGAGAUUUCAUCUAGAAUAAAAAAAAUCUCAGAAAAGGAAGAGGCAAUAUAGCACAGGUAGGAUCUGGAGCUCCCAGUAGUUCCUAAUUGGACCAGAAAAAACUAUGGACUUUGGGUAAUGGAUACCUCAAAGGCAGCCAGGAUGCAGAGAUAAGUAAUGGCUAGCAUGGUCUCCUUGAGGAUAUGCUACUGGAUAACCUAAGGUAUUGGCACCAUCUUGGAUACCAUCUUAAUAAUAUCUUACAUUUUCCUUAUGGGAUAAAUAGAUGGGAGCUUAGACUUAGUCUUCAGUUGAUUACAGGGAA